rfam:Ascaris lumbricoides genome assembly, scaffold: ALTE_scaffold0000793
CCAACCAUAGCUCAGUUGGUAGAGCGGAGGACUGUAGGUGCUGUGCGGAAAUCCUUAGGUCGCUGGUUCGAAUCCGGCUGGUUGGA